GAUGAACGCUGGCGGCGCGCUUAACACAUGCAAGUCGAACGAUGAAGCCCAGCUUGCUGGUGGAUUAGUGGCGAACGGGUGAGUAACACGUGAGUAACCUGCCCUUAACUCUGGGAUAAGCCUGGGAAACUGGGUCUAAUACCGGAUUGGAGCGUCCACCGCAUGGUGGGUGUUGGAAAGAUUUAUCGGUUUUGGAUGGACUCGCGGCCUAUCAGCUUGUUGGGGAGGUAAUGGCUCACCAAGGCGACGACGGGGAGCCGGCCUGGGAGGGUGACCGGCCACACUGGGACUGAGAAACGGCCCAGACUCCUACGGGAGGCAGCAGUGGGGAAUAUUGCACAAUGGGCGAAAGCCUGAUGCAGCGACGCCGCGUGAGGGAUGACGGCCUUCGGGUUGUAAACCUCUUUCAGUAGGGAAGAAGCGAAAGUGACGGUACCUGCAGAAGAAGCACCGGCUAACUACGUGCCAGCCGCCGCCGUAA
rnacentral:rRNA from 1 species